rnacentral:rRNA from 1 species
GGCCCAGACUCCUACGGGAGGCAGCAGUCGGGAAUAUUGCGCAAUGGAGGAAACUCUGACGCAGUGACGCCGCGUGCAGGAAGAAGGUUUUCGGAUUGUAAACUGCUUUAGACAGGGAUGAAAGAAAUGACGGUACCUGUAGAAUAAGCUCCGGCUAACUACGUGCCAGCAGCCGCGGUAAUACGUAGGGAGCAAGCGUUAUCCGGAUUUAUUGGGUGUAAAGGGUGCGUAGACGGGUAUACAAGUUAGUAGUGAAAUCCCUCGGCUUAACUGAGGAACUGCUACUAAAACUAUAUAUCUUGAGUACUGGAGGGGAAAGCGGAAUUCCUAGUGUAGCGGUGAAAUGCGUAGAUAUUAGGAAGAACACCGGUGGCGAAGGCGGCUCUCUGGUCUGCAACUGACGCUGAGGCUCGAAAGCAUGGGUAGCGAACAGGAUUAGAUACCCGAGUA